AUUGAACGCUGGCGGCAGGCCUAACACAUGCAAGUCGAGCGAGCGGCGGACGGGUGAGUAAUGUAUGGGGACUGCCCGAUAGCGGGGGAUAACUACUGGAAACGGUGGCUAAUCCCGCAUACUAUCGGAUAACCCAUAUGGGAUUAGCUAGUAGGUGGGGUAACAGCUCACCAAGGCGACGAUCUCUAGCUGGUCUGAGAGGAUGAUCAGCCACACUGGUACUGAGACACGGCCCAGACUCCGACGGAGGCAGCAGUGGGGAAUAUUGCACAAGGGGCGCAAGCCUGAUGCAGCCAGGCCGCGUGUAUGAAGAAGUCCUUAGGGUUGUAAAGUACUUUCAGCGGGGAGGCGUUACCCGCAGAAGAAGCACCGGCUAACUCCGUGCCAGCAGCCGCGGUAAUUC
rnacentral:rRNA from 1 species